rnacentral:rRNA from 1 species
CCUACGGGAGGCAGCAGUGAGGAAUAUUGGUCAAUGGACGAGAGCCUGAACCAGCCAAGUAGCGUGAAGGAUGACUGCCCUAUGGGUUGUAACCUUCUUUUAUAUGGGAAUAAAAUGUUCCACGUGUGGGAUUUUGUAUGUACCAUAUUAAUAAGGAGCGGCUAACGACGUGCCAGCAUCAGCGGUAAUACGGAGGAUCCGAGCGUUAUCCGGAGUUUUUGGGUUUAAAGGGAGUGUAGGUGGAUUUUUAAGUCAGUUGUGAAAGGUUGCGGCUCAACCGUAAAACUGCAGUUGAAACUGGCAGUCUUGAGUACAGUAGAGGUGAGCGGAAUUCGUGGUGUAGCGGUGAAAUGCUUAGAUAUCACGAAGAACUCCGAUUGCGAAGGCAGCUCACUGGACUGCAACUGACACUGAGGCUCGAAAGUGUGGGUAUCAAACAGGAUUAGAUACCCGAGUAGUC